GAUGAACGCUGGCGGCGUGCCUAAUACAUGCAAGUCGAGCGAACAGAUAAGGAGCUUGCUCCUUUGACGUUAGCGGCGGACGGGUGAGUAACACGUGGGUAACCUACCUAUAAGACUGGAAUAACUCCGGGAAACCGGGGCUAAUGCCGGAUAACAUUUAGAACCGCAUGGUUCUAAAGUGAAAGAUGGUUUUGCUAUCACUUAUAGAUGGACCCGCGCCGUAUUAGCUAGUUGGUAAGGUAACGGCUUACCAAGGCAACGAUACGUAGCCAACCUGAGAGGGUGAUCGGCCACACUGGAACUGAGACACGGUCCAGACUCCUACGGGAGGCAGCAGUAGGGAAUCUUCCGCAAUGGGCGAAAGCCUGACGGAGCAACGCCGCGUGAGUGAUGAAGGUCUUCGGAUCGUAAAACUCUGUUAUUAGGGAAGAACAAAUGUGUAAGUAACUGUGCACGUCUUGACGGUACCUAAUCAGAAAGCCACGGCUAACUACGUG
rnacentral:rRNA from 1 species